rnacentral:rRNA from 1 species
UAGGGAAUCUUCCGCAAUGGGCGAAAGCCUGACGGAGCAACGCCGCGUGAGUGAUGAAGGUCUUAGGAUCGUAAAACUCUGUUGUUAGGGAAGAACAAAUUUGUUAGUAACUGAACAAGUCUUGACGGUACCUAACCAGAAAGCCACGGCUAACUACGUGCCAGCAGCCGCGGUAAUACGUAGGUGGCAAGCGUUAUCCGGAAUUAUUGGGCGUAAAGCGCGCGUAGGCGGUUUCUUAAGUCUGAUGUGAAAGCCCACGGCUCAACCGUGGAGGGUCAUUGGA